rnacentral:misc_RNA from 1 species
CUUCUGAAAAGAUGAUUCUCCAAGCUUCCCCUCUGCAUGAACUCAUACACAAGGAGUAGCUCUUUAUCCUCCAAACAAUAUCCCAAUAAUUUAACCAGGUUGGGAUGUGACAACCUCCCUAGAAAGUUCACCUCUGACUGCCACUCUUGAAGCCCUUGCAUACUUUCUGGGUUUAAUUUCUUGAUUGCAACGACCAUCCCAAUGCCAGUUUUGGAGGGUGCCAAAGUCUUUUCAUCUAUCCAUCCUUUGAAGACUUUACCAAAACCACCUUCACCCAACAAAGUGUCUGGUUUGAAAUUCUUUGUAGCACUCUUCAAAUCAGCAAAGGUAAACUCCUUCAAGUUUGCCGCUUCCAAAAUUUGACCGUUUGGAUUUGCCUCAUCAUUCCCUUCGCUUACUGCAGCAGAGAAUUGACUUUUACCUGCACUGCUGCUUGUAGCUGAGAAAUCCAUGGUGGUGUUGUUAUUUGAUGACCCUGGGGUGGGAGGAUUGGUAGUGGUGAAAGAGGCGCUAGGAAUAGAAUCCUGAGAGGGAGAUCCAAAGCAAUUGCCCAUGUUGACUUCUUUAAGUGUCUCUUCUCUUAGAU